rnacentral:rRNA from 1 species
UCAAGUUAUUAAGGGUGCAGGGCGGAUGCCUUGGCACUAGGAGCCGAUGAAGGACGUGAUAAGCUGCGAUAAGCUUCGGGGAGUUGCACGUAAACUUUGAUCCGAAGAUUUCCGAAUGAGGAAACUCACUUAAGAGUAAUGUCUAAGUAUCAUUAAGUGAAUACAUAGCUUAAUGAGGGGAACUCAGGGAACUGAAACAUCUAAGUACCUGAAGGAAGAGAAAGAAAUUCGAUUCCGUAAGUAGCGGCGAGCGAACGCGGAUUAGCCCAAACCAAUAAAGUUUUCUUUAUUGGGGUUGCGGACAUAUCAUAACGAAGAGGUAUCGUAAUUGAAGAGGUUUGGAAAGACCCACCACAGAAGGUAAUAGUCCUGUAUGUUAAACGAGAAGACUUUAGAUAUGAUCCAGAGUACCACGGGACACGUGAAACCCUGUGGGAAGCAGGAGGGACCACCCUCCAAGGCUAAAUACUACCUAGUGACCGAUAGCGUAUAGUACCGUGAGGGAAAGGUGAAAAGAACCCCGGGAGGGGAGUGAAAUAGAACCUGAAACCCUGCACUUACAAGCUGUGGAAGCACAUUUCUUGUGUGACCGCGUACUUUUUGUAGAACGGGCCAACGAGUUACGUUAAGUAGCAAGGUUAAGCACUUAAGGUGCGGAGCCGUAGCGAAAGCGAGUUUUAACUGAGCGUUCAGUUACUUGACGUAGACCCGAAACCGGGCGACCUACCCAUGAGCAGGAUGAAGCGAAAGUAAAAUUUCGUGGAGGUCCGAACCCACGAGCGUUGAAAAGCUCGGGGAUGACUUGUGGGUAGCGGUGAAAUUCCAAUCGAGCCCGGAGAUAGCUGGUUCUCCCCGAAAUAGCUUUAGGGCUAGCCUCAAGGUGAGAGAUACGGAGGUAGAGCACUGAAUGUCCUAGGGGGUAUUGCACCUACCGAAGACUAUCAAACUCCGAAUGCCGUCAUCUUAUACUUGGGAGUCAGACUGUGGGUGAUAAGAUUCAUAGUCGAAAGGGCAACAGCCCAGAUCGUCAGCUAAGGUCCCUAAAUGUAAGUUAAGUGGUAAAGGAUGUGGGAUUGCACAGACAACCAGGAUGUUGGCUUAGAAGCAGCCACUCAUUCAAAGAGUGCGUAAUAGCUCACUGGUCGAGUGAUCCUGCGCCGAAGAUUUCCGGGGCUAAAACUUACUACCGAAGCUACGGCAUCAGUAAUGAUGGGUAGGGGAGCUUCCCAUACGGGUUGAAGCAUGACCGUAAGGACAUGUGGACAGUAUGGGAGUGAGAAUGUUGGCAUGAGUAGCGAGAUGUGGGUGAGAAUCCCACAGGCCGUAAACCCAAGGUUUCCAGGGGAAGGUUCGUCCGCCCUGGGUUAGUCGGGACCUAAGCUGAGGCCGAAAGGCGUAGGUGAUGGACAACAGGUUGAUAUUCCUGUACUACCGAUAACCGUUUGAGAGAAGGGAUGACACAGUAGGAUAAGCUAAGCACACUGUUGGUUAUGUGUGCCCAAGCAUUGAGGCAGUCAAAGUAGGCAAAUCCGCUUUGAUAAUGCUGGGAUGUGAUGGGGAGCGAAAUUUAGUAGCGAAGUAGCUGAUUUCACACUGUCAAGAAAAGUCUCUAUCGAGGUUAAAGGUACCCGUACCGCAAACCGACACAGGUGGGUGAGGAGAGUAUCCUAAGGCCAGCGAGAGAACUGUUGUUAAGGAACUCGGCAAAAUGACCCCGUAACUUAGGGAUAAGGGGUGCCACCAUCAGGUGGCCGCAGAGAAUAGGCCCAAGCGACUGUUUACCAAAAACAUAGGUUUCUGCUAAGUCGCAAGACGAUGUAUAGGAGCUGACGCCUGCCCGGUGCUGGAAGGUUAAGGGGAUCUGUUAGAGCAAUCGAAGCAGUGAACUUAAGCCCCAGUAAACGGCGGCCGUAACUAUAACGGUCCUAAGGUAGCGAAAUUCCUUGUCGGGUAAGUUCCGACCCGCACGAAAGGCGUAACGAUUUGGGCACUGUCUCAACAACAGACUCGGUGAAAUUGUAAUUCCGGUGAAGAUGCCGGAUACCUGCGACAGGACGGAAAGACCCCAUGGAGCUUUACUGUAGCUUGACAUUGGGUCUUGGUACUACAUGUACAGGAUAGGUGGGAGGCUUUGAAACCAGGACGCCAGUUUUGGCGGAGCCAUCCUUGGGAUACCACCCUUGUAGUACUGGGACUCUAACCAUAGGCCAUGAAUCUGGUCUUGGGACACUGUCAGGUGGGCAGUUUGACUGGGGCGGUCGCCUCCCAAAAGGUAACGGAGGCGCUCAAAGGUUCUCUCAGUACGGUCGGAAAUCGUACGUAGAGUGUAAAGGCAAAAGAGAGCUUGAUUGCAAGACAUACAGGUCGAGCAAGGAUGAAAAUCGGACUUAGUGAUCCGGUGGUUCUGCGUGGAAGGGCCAUCGCUCAACGGAUAAAAGCUACCCUGGGGAUAACAGGCUUAUCUCCCCCAAGAGUCCACAUCGACGGGGAGGUUUGGCACCUCGAUGUCGGCUCAUCACAUCCUGGGGCUGUAGUAGGUCCCAAGGGUUGGGCUGUUCGCCCAUUAAAGUGGUACGCGAGCUGGGUUCAGAACGUCGUGAGACAGUUCGGUCCCUAUCCGUCGCAGGCGUAGGAAAUUUGAGAAGACCUGUCCUUAGUACGAGAGGACCGGGAUGGACGUACCUCUGGUGUACCAGUUGUCCUGCCAAGGGCAUGGCUGGGUAGCUAUGUACGGAAUGGAUAAGCGCUGAAAGCAUCUAAGCGCGAAGCCAACUUCAAGAUAAGAUUUCCCACCGCAAGGGUAAGACCCCAGAAAGACUAUCUGGUUGAUAGGUCGAAGGUGUAAGUGCAGCAAUGUAUUUAGCUUAUCGAUACUAAUAGGUCGAGGACUUGACCAA